rfam:Schistosoma rodhaini strain Burundi genome assembly, scaffold: SROB_scaffold0000380
AUCCAGCUGACGAGCCUUAAAUAGGAUGAAACGUGCGUCCUGGAU